ACGACUCUCGGCAACGGAUAUCCCGGCUCUCGCAUCGAUGAAGAACGUAGCGAAAUGCGAUACUUGGUGUGAAUUGCAGAAUCCCGUGAACCACCGAGUUUUUGAACGCAAGUUGCGCCCGAUGCCACUAGGCUGAGGGCACGUCUGCCUGGGUGUCACGUAAA
rnacentral:rRNA from 1 species